rnacentral:rRNA from 2 species
GGGUUGUGAGGUUAAGCGACUAAGCGUACACGGUGGAUGCCCUGGCAGUCAGAGGCGAUGAAGGACGUGCUAAUCUGCGAAAAGCGCCGGCGAGGUGAUAUGAACCUUUGACCCGGCGAUGUCCGAAUGGGGAAACCCAGUGCAAUCCGUUGCACUAUCGUUUGAUGAAUACAUAGUCAAACGAGGCGAACCGGGGGAACUGAAACAUCUAAGUACCCCGAGGAAAAGAAAUCAACCGAGAUUCCCCCAGUAGCGGCGAGCGAACGGGGAGCAGCCCAGAGCCUGAAUCAGCUUGUGUGUUAGUGGAAGCGUCUGGAAAGUCGCGCGAUACAGGGUGACAGCCCCGUACACGAAAGCACACAGGUUGUGAGCUCGAUGAGUAGGGCGGGACACGUGGUAUCCUGUCUGAAUAUGGGGGGACCAUCCUCCAAGGCUAAAUACUCCUGACUGACCGAUAGUGAACCAGUACCGUGAGGGAAAGGCGAAAAGAACCCCGGCGAGGGGAGUGAAAAAGAACCUGAAACCGUGUACGUACAAGCAGUGGGAGCCUCUUAAUGGGGUGACUGCGUACCUUUUGUAUAAUGGGUCAGCGACUUAUAUUCUGUAGCAAGGUUAACCGAAUAGGGGAGCCGAAGGGAAACCGAGUCUUAACUGGGCGUUAAGUUGCAGGGUAUAGACCCGAAACCCGGUGAUCUAGCCAUGGGCAGGUUGAAGGUUGGGUAACACUAACUGGAGGACCGAACCGACUAAUGUUGAAAAAUUAGCGGAUGACUUGUGGCUGGGGGUGAAAGGCCAAUCAAACCGGGAGAUAGCUGGUUCUCCCCGAAAGCUAUUUAGGUAGCGCCUCGUGAAUUCAUCUCCGGGGGUAGAGCACUGUUUCGGCUAGGGGGCCAUCCCGGCUUACCAACCCGAUGCAAACUACGAAUACCGGAGAAUGUUAUCACGGGAGACACACGGCGGGUGCUAACGUCCGUCGUGAAGAGGGAAACAACCCAGACCGCCAGCUAAGGUCCCAAAGUCAUGGUUAAGUGGGAAACGAUGUGGGAAGGCACAGACAGCCAGGAUGUUGGCUUAGAAGCAGCCAUCAUUUAAAGAAAGCGUAAUAGCUCACUGGUCGAGUCGGCCUGCGCGGAAGAUGUAACGGGGCUAAACCAUGCACCGAAGCUGCGGCAGCGACACUAAGUGUUGUUGGGUAGGGGAGCGUUCUGUAAGCCUGCGAAGGUGUGCUGUGAGGCAUGCUGGAGGUAUCAGAAGUGCGAAUGCUGACAUAAGUAACGAUAAAGCGGGUGAAAAGCCCGCUCGCCGGAAGACCAAGGGUUCCUGUCCAACGUUAAUCGGGGCAGGGUGAGUCGACCCCUAAGGCGAGGCCGAAAGGCGUAGUCGAUGGGAAACAGGUUAAUAUUCCUGUACUUGGUGUUACUGCGAAGGGGGGACGGAGAAGGCUAUGUUAGCCGGGCGACGGUUGUCCCGGUUUAAGCAUGUAGGCUGGUUAUCCAGGCAAAUCCGGAUAAUCAAGGCUGAGGUGUGAUGACGAGUCACUACGGUGAUGAAGUAACAAAUGCCCUGCUUCCAGGAAAAGCCUCUAAGCAUCAGGUAACACGAAAUCGUACCCCAAACCGACACAGGUGGUCAGGUAGAGAAUACCAAGGCGCUUGAGAGAACUCGGGUGAAGGAACUAGGCAAAAUGGUGCCGUAACUUCGGGAGAAGGCACGCUGAUAUGUAGGUGAAGCCCCUGCGGGCGGAGCUGAAAUCAGUCGAAGAUACCAGCUGGCUGCAACUGUUUAUUAAAAACACAGCACUGUGCAAACACGAAAGUGGACGUAUACGGUGUGACGCCUGCCCGGUGCCGGAAGGUUAAUUGAUGGGGUUAUCCGUAAGGAGAAGCUCUUGAUCGAAGCCCCGGUAAACGGCGGCCGUAACUAUAACGGUCCUAAGGUAGCGAAAUUCCUUGUCGGGUAAGUUCCGACCUGCACGAAUGGCGUAAUGAUGGCCAGGCUGUCUCCACCCGAGACUCAGUGAAAUUGAACUCGCUGUGAAGAUGCAGUGUACCCGCGGCAAGACGGAAAGACCCCGUGAACCUUUACUAUAGCUUGACACUGAACAUUGAGCCUUGAUGUGUAGGAUAGGUGGGAGGCUUUGAAGUGUGGACGCCAGUCUGCAUGGAGCCAACCUUGAAAUACCACCCUUUAAUGUUUGAUGUUCUAACGUGGACCCGUAAUCCGGGUUGCGGACAGUGUCUGGUGGGUAGUUUGACUGGGGCGGUCUCCUCCCAAAGAGUAACGGAGGAGCACGAAGGUUGGCUAAUCCUGGUCGGACAUCAGGAGGUUAGUGCAAUGGCAUAAGCCAGCUUGACUGCGAGCGUGACGGCGCGAGCAGGUGCGAAAGCAGGUCAUAGUGAUCCGGUGGUUCUGAAUGGAAGGGCCAUCGCUCAACGGAUAAAAGGUACUCCGGGGAUAACAGGCUGAUACCGCCCAAGAGUUCAUAUCGACGGCGGUGUUUGGCACCUCGAUGUCGGCUCAUCACAUCCUGGGGCUGAAGUAGGUCCCAAGGGUAUGGCUGUUCGCCAUUUAAAGUGGUACGCGAGCUGGGUUUAGAACGUCGUGAGACAGUUCGGUCCCUAUCUGCCGUGGGCGCUGGAGAAUUGAGGGGGGCUGCUCCUAGUACGAGAGGACCGGAGUGGACGCAUCACUGGUGUUCGGGUUGUCAUGCCAAUGGCACUGCCCGGUAGCUACAUGCGGAAGAGAUAAGUGCUGAAAGCAUCUAAGCACGAAACUUGCCCCGAGAUGAGUUCUCCCCUGGACUUUAAGUCCACUAAAGGAACGUUGAAGACGACGACGUUGAUAGGCCGGGUGUGUAAGCGCAGCGAUGCGUUGAGCUAACCGGUACUAAUGAACCGUGAGGCUUAACCUUACAACGCCGAAG